UACGUAAAAUGUGACAAAAAUCUUGCUUAAACCAUUAAGCAGCCAUAUUGCAACAGGAUGGGAAUGCUGAGAGUCAGACAGUAUGCGGGCAGACUGGAAAAAGGAGGACAAGCACAAAAUUCAAGCAGUUGUCGUAUCUUCCUUCAUCUCCCUCCUCGUGUCAUCAUAUCUACAAUACAAUCUGCAACAACAGACUACAGUCCAUCAGGUGCAUAAUUAAGGAGUUACAUUCAUAGGAAGCACCAAGAGGUAAACAUUGUGUGUCUCAUCCCUUGACAGAAAUCUUCAGAUUUGCUUAACUUCCAGUUUAUCUACAAAAUAUUUGAGAAUGACUCCAGGCUGGUCUGUAGUGGGGGUUGAAGUUUUUAGUAUUAAUCUUAAUCUUCUAGAUUGUGUUCCUUCUUUUAUGCACCUGCUAUUUCAUUACAAGCUCACUUCUGUAAAGAAUGCUUCACAUGUAGACCAGGUGUAGUGAAAUGGGACUUGACCGUCAACCACGGCAUCGAUUUUCUCCUCACUCAAGAAUCAGUAAAAAUAGAUAUCAGUGAAUGGAUUUUUUUCCCUCAAUGUAAGGCCUGUGUGCCUCUUAACAAAACAUCUGUGAACUGAAUUGUUGAUGUGUACACUAAACAUGUUGAUUAAAUUUCCAGGAUUUUCUCUGGUCAAUUAAAAAGCCAGCCAUCACGCAUUUUUCUCCUAAGCCACUGACAUGCUAUUGAUAUUCUUAAGCUACUGAUUAUGCAGAACCAAACUCUGCUUUUAUUUAGACAGUUCUCAGUCAUUCAAGUAACUCUUCUAAAGGUCAUACAUGCAUCGAGCUUUCUUCCAUUAUUUGAGAAUGGCCAUCAACUUCAUCUAAACUACAGCAAUGAUUUUCUUCUUGACAAGUAUUUGGCUUUAUUGCAACCUGAAAAUCUCUGCAUGUUUUUUAGUCAAUAAGAGGAAGUCCCUUCCUGUGACAGAUUUUGUUUUGUGGCUUUAACCUGCUCAGGUGCCAGGUCUCUGCACAUGCUGGUCUCACUCUGUAGGCAGAAGCUCUCACUGACCCAUGGGAGUCCAAGGCACUCAUGAUGAAGGAAAGUAAUCUGAGUAACAGCCUACAAGAUCUUAUGAGUGUGAGAAACUUAAAAACCAUUUGAAAUAACUAUGGAGAUCCUAACCCUAAUAGCUUUAACCCACUCUUUCAAAAUGCUGUGCUCCUCGGUGGCUGACUGUGCUGUUCCUUGGUUCAAAGGUGGCCGCCAAGUAGGCCUGACCAUUGGUAGCUGACAGAUUGGCAAAAAUGACUGGCCUUCAGCAGCUCAGCAGCCAGACUGCAAACCAAGCCCAGCAUUUCUGGAGGAAAAGUGAUGUGGCAGGGCACCACGACCUUUUCUGCUCCAUUUGGCAGUUUGUAAACAGCUGCAAUGUAGAGACAACUAGUCUUUUUAACACCAAUGGGUCAGAAGCUGCUUCAGACCACUGGGUGGGCACCGGAGCUUCUGAGUCUUUUGUAGCUUCUUUUCAGACAGGAUGAAUUCAACCCACUGUAGAGGGAAAGAGCAUCAUUGCCACAGAAUAAAUGAGACGUCUGAAUCAUAGGCAACUGCUCUGCUUGUCUUGCGGACUGCCAGUGUCCCAGUACACAUAACUGGGAAAGAUCCAGAAGGAAUCAAUUUCCACAAUCCAGCGGUUGACAUGAAGUGGAAAACAUUUAAGGAGGGUAGAAAACAAAUAAACAAACAAAUGAAAGAAUCAAGAGAAACUCUUCUUGUUUCUUAUUGCCCAAUAGUUUACUAUGGUUAUUGUUCAAUUUUGGCCACAGACUUGUGACCUCUCCUAUUUUAUUUAGCACUUCUUUCAAUUCCCUUUUUUAAAACAAAGCAAAACAAAACAACUCAAAGUGUUGCUAAAGCCAUGUCAAACUUAUUUACUGCUGUUUGAGUCUCUUGCAUGGGCUGAUGUUAGUAUCAGUAACAGAGAUGUGUGGAACACCUGCUCACACACAUGCAGUGUCAGACCUCUGGUGUUGUGCCUCAAUCUCAUUUGACUGUACUAACUGAAGAGUGAGGGUCUGAGUUAAAGGAAUAAUUAAGUUUGACAGUUAUCUGCAAAAACAGGCAUGCUUCCAGUCUCACAAUAGCAAUGCGUGAGGUUUUGAAGUGUUGCUAGUGUGGGGUGAAAUUGUUUAAAUAUAUAUAUCCAGAUAUUAUAGAUAUUCUAGUACACGUAUAUACAUAUUCAUAACUUAAACAAAUGCUUACACUUCUACACUUGUAUACAUGAACUUAUGUAACAUAUAUGCAUAUAGAGCUGCAAU